GCCCGUGUGGUGCAGUGGUUUGAUUGUCGGAUUAGGACUCUGGAGACCAGGAUUCGAAUCCCUGCUUGGGCA